ACUUCUGAAAGAUUUGGCUUUGAUCUAGCCCUCUGAACUUCUAUGUAGCUCCAGUUCAUUUCUUCUUAUGUUUUGCAUCACACUAUGCAGGCCCAGCUCUCUUCGUAUCCUACCACCACCAUGAUCGACGUGCGGCUGCCUCACAAUUGAUACAGUACAGUUGGUAACAUGCCACUCGUUUGACAUGCUCAAGAUGCCAUGGAUCGACAACUGAAUAUCUGACAUUAUUCAGUUCAGAGUGUUGCAGCCAACAGCUGCCCUACCAUCCCAACCUGUUUUCGGGUCAAGAGACUUAAUCAACCAAUGUGCAUUUCCAACAAAGGCAUGGUUCUGAUAAUGUUUUGAAGCAGUGUCGUGCAAGCUUCUCCUGGAUUGGCAAUCAGGUCCCUGCUUGGCCCAAAAACUUCUAAAAGGUACAAGUAGUUGUUAUUCCUUUUGUUCCACAAGCUAAAAUUGGUCUGAAUCUGGCGUACUUAAUGUGGUAUUCUUUCAUGUCUGUAGAAAUAGAGACAAACCACAAUUCGUGUGUCAGUGACACUGUACAUAGUAUUUCUCUUUCAGGCUGCAUAGCAGAGCGUUGGAAAACUUCUGCAACAAAGCAUCAGAACUUCAGAAAAGAAUUAUCUCGUUUCUGCAACUGUCCAUGAAUUUGAUUCCACCUUGCUUUGAAAAUAGAAUCAUCUCGUUUCUGGCUUUCUGCGACUGUCCAUGAAUUUGAUUCCUCCAUUUGUCUUUCAGCCUGCAUAGCUAUCUCUAGAAAGCUUGUGCAAGAAUGCAUCAGAAGAUUUCAAGCCUUUGCUCCAGUGGUAUAUAUAAAUGGACGUCAUUAUCUGAAUCUCACCACACAAAAUGCGCAACAGAAAGAACACCUCAAGUCCCAGUUUCUGAAGGAACAAUCACUGAGACAGGCAACGGCACUGAGACAACAAUGGCGCCGCGACACACGGCGGGAACAGAACGAAAACAAUCACUGACAACACAACAUCACCGAAACAGAAGGAAGAUCCCUGACAAGCCAA